CUUGAUCUGUACAACAGGUUCUGGAGAACAAUGCUGUGUUCUUUUUGGGCUGCUUCAGAAGCACUACCAACAAGCAACAGGGAAGUGUGACAAAACCAAUAGCUUUAUUAACCUGAUCCACCAUAACCUGAAAAUGAGCCAAAGAAAAGAUAAGCCUAUAUAAUUGGGGUUAGGCGGCGACCACCUGGUGGUUGGAUUCUUGUGGGGCCCAGCCAGGCCCAGCCCGAGUGAGGCGAGGCCUUUCCCCAGUGGCGCCAACACCUGCAGGGGGAACAAGGGAUUGGCUAGCAGUCAGAGGCCAAGGCCUCAGCGACCUGAUCUGCCGGCACUUGGACUUGCUCGACUAAAUGUAAUAUCUGUUCUGGUGUGAUGAAAGUGACACAAUGUUCUUCACAAAGUGAUUGCAGGAACAUCAAGGAGAAAAAAACACAUCUACAGGAAGUAGGAGGCAGGAAUGAUUGGACUGGAGAGGAGAUGGCACUUAAAAUUGUUCAGGACUAUGUGAAUUAUAACUGUGUAACACAGGCACUGAGACAUUGAGACCAUUUAGUGUAGGGUAUCCUCUUUUCCACAAGAGGGAGCGCGAUUACAACUUACCCUAAAACAAUCUUCUAAAUAAAAUAUUCUAGUUCAGAAACCUUCUCAGUCUCAAUAAUCCAUAGUAGAAAACAAUAUUUUUACACAGAUAACACUGCUGAUUUCAUUGAAAACUUUGUAUAACGUUGAUUUUGGGACUGAUUUUCAGGGUGCUGUACAAAAGUGAUUGCUAAAGCAAAAAACAUUUUCAGUCAGACUCUUGGGUUUUAUUCAUGACUGUACAAUGUUUGUGGGGGGUUUUCUCCUCCAUAUGCGGUCUUCGGUUUGAUGAAUAAUGCAAGAGGCUUAUGAGAGGUCUUUGGUGCUAAGAACUGAUCUAGGUUCAGGGCAAGUGAGUAGAUGUGUCCUGUGCAUAUUGAAGGGUUGCUAACCUGAGAUCAGCAGGGAGGAUAGGAGGGUAACUGGAGAGCACCUCAGAGUCAUGGAGUGAGACAAGGCUUAUCAGGUGUCAGAGGAAGAAAAGAGCUGAGGGGAACAAGAAGAUACACACCAGGUACAUGUGAAGGAUUCAUGUGUUGAUAUGAAUUUUUGUCGUCAACUUGUCUAAGCUGAUGGUUUAGGACAAAAUGGAAGAUUGUGCUAGGGAUUACCCAAUCGAUUUUUUAUUAUUUUUGGUGUUUCAAGCUGCUCCCUCUCUCUAAAUACAGAGAGGGAGAAAAACACCAGAGAGGAAAUACUUAAAAGGAGGGGCAAGAAAGUAUUUUAAGGGGAAAAAAGGAACUGCAACUACUCCUCUGGAAGCUGAUUUGCACUCUGCACUGGCAGAUUGUGGAUUUUCUGCCCUUUCAGCGUGCCUGGGAUUUGAUUGACAUUGAUGUUACUAACCUAAGCUCUGCCUAGCUUACUGAGUGAACCCGCAGCUGGAGUUUUCUUUGCAGAAUGUCAGAAAGAAUGGAUGAAAAGGUUCUUUUCAACAAGAAGAUUCAAGUUUUUGUCAGGACUUGCCAUUUUUCUGAUCUGAAAUCUAAACCUCUCUAUAGCAGCUCCGCAUGUAGUCUCAUUGUCCUGCUGGACGGCUGACAUACAUCAAGGUCCUAACCCUUCUAUUCUCUAACAGCAAUUCUUCCAACUUUGUCCAUCUUCUAAUAAACUCUGAAGAACAGCAUCCCCCAAGGAUGAUCUUACCAACCCUGGUUCUAGCAUAUUU